GCCGGGCAUGGUGGUGGGUGCCUGUAAUCCCAGCUACUUGGGAGUUUGAGGCCAGAGAAUCGCUUGAACCCGAGAGGCGGAGGUGGCAGUGAGCCAAGACCAUGCCAUUAUACUCCAGCCUGGGCGACAAGAAAGAAACUCCGUUUCAAAAGAAAAAAANNNNNNNNNNUUUUUUUCUUUUGAAACGGAGUUUCUUUCUUGUCGCCCAGGCUGGAGUAUAAUGGCAUGGUCUUGGCUCACUGCCACCUCCGCCUCUCGGGUUCAAGCGAUUCUCUGGCCUCA
rfam:Chlorocebus sabaeus isolate 1994-021 chromosome 13, whole genome shotgun sequence.